CUGAGUUUCAGUAAUCAACAAGUUUCAGGAAGAGUCUUCAAGGCUCGAAGCAUACAAGUGUUUUUGAGAGGUGCAUAAGCUAUUCAGGUGCAAAGUAAUGUUCCUUACAAGGCAUUUCAAAUCAUUGCUCCCAAUGCAAGUAAAUGCAACCUAUAUGCUCUAGACUCUCCUUUAAAUGCCAAUGAUGCAAACUAAAUGAAAUUUUUUUUUU
rnacentral:lncRNA from 1 species